rnacentral:lncRNA from 1 species
AUGAAUCUUGACUCACCAUUUCAGGACUUGCAGAAUGAUAUUCAGAAAUGGGCUCAAACAGUGGGCCUGCCUCAUAUUGUGACUGACUGGACCGUUUAUAGUCUCCGAAUGUUUAUCAAUGCCACCAACACGCUGAAUAUCUCUUAUGACUACCUUGCUGGGUUGCCUCCACUCGAGAAAAGUAAGUACCAGCAAAAGGUAGAUCAAAUACAGGUAAUUCUUGACUUAUGACCACAAGUGGGACCAAAAUUUCCAUCAUAAGAUAGUGCAGUCAUAAAAGGAGUCAUCACAUGACCAGACCCAAUUUUAUAACCAUUUUUACCACAGGCAUUUAAGUGAAUCAGCAUGGAUAUUAAGCAAAUCAUGCAGUCAUUAAGCAAAUCCUGGUUCUCCAGUUGACUUUCCUUAUGGAAAGCCACCUGGAAAGGUUACAAAUAGCAAUCAU